UACGAACUGUGCGAACGUUAUUCGGAAUCACUGGGCUUACAGGGUGCGUAGGCGGCUUGUUAAGUAGGGUGUGAAAGCCCCCGGCUCAACCGGGGAAUUGCGCCCUAAACUGGCGAGCUGGAGUGAGAUAGGGGUGUGUGGAACUUCCGGUGGAGCGGUGAAAUGUGUUGAUAUCGGAAGGAACAUCAGUGGCGAAAGCGGCUUCCUGGACCAGUACCGACGUUCAGGCACGAAAGCGUGGGGAGCAAACAGG
rnacentral:rRNA from 1 species